rnacentral:rRNA from 1 species
CGUACACUCCUGCGGGAGGCAGCAGUGGGGAAUUUUGGACAAUGGGCGAAAGCCUGAUCCAGCCAUGCCGCGUGCAGGAUGAAGGCCUUCGGGUUGUAAACUGCUUUUGUACGGAACGAAACGGCCUUUUCUAAUAAAGAGGGCUAAUGACGGUACCGUAAGAAUAAGCACCGGCUAACUACGUGCCAGCAGCCGCGGUAAUACGUAGGGUGCAAGCGUUAAUCGGAAUUACUGGGCGUAAAGCGUGCGCAGGCGGUUAUGUAAGACAGUUGUGAAAUCCCCGGGCUCAACCUGGGAACUGCAUCUGUGACUGCAUAGCUAGAGUACGGCAGAGGGGGAUGGAAUUCCGCGUGUAGCAGUGAAAUGCGUAGAUAUGCGGAGGAACACCGAUGGCGAAGGCAAUCCCCUGGACCUGUACUGACGCUCAUGCACGAAAGCGUGGGGAGCAAACAGGAUUAGAAACCCGAGUAGUCCCAUGA